UAUAGUUUAUUUGAUAAUGGAAGGUUAUAUGGAUAGCCGUGGUAAUUCUAGAGCUAAUACAUGCUGUUAAACCUGACUCACGAAAGGUUGUAUUUAUUAGAUAUCAAGCCAAUAUUCCUCACGGUUUAUUGUGGUGAAUCAUAGUAACUGAUCGAAUUGCAGGAUACCUGCGAUAGUUCAUUCAAGUUUCUGCCCUAUCAGCUCUCGAUGGUAGUGUAUUGGCCUACCAUGGCAGUAACGGGUAACGGAGAAUUAGGGUUCGAUUCCGGAGAGGGAGCCUGAGAAACGGCUACCACA
rnacentral:rRNA from 1 species